AGAGUUUGAUCAUGGCUCAGGAUGAAUGCUGGCGGCGUGCCUUAGGCAUGCAAGUCGAACGGAUCCGAUGCAAAUCGGAUUAGUGGCGGACGGGUGAGUAACGCGUAGGAAUCUACCCCAAAGUGUGGAAUAAUCCAGCGAAAGCAGGACUAAUACCGCAUAAUCUCUUCGGAGCAAAGGCCGUAACUGGUCGCUAUGGGAGGAGCCUGCGUCCUAUCAGCUUGUUGGUGAGGUAAAGGCUUACCAAGGCUAUGACGGGUAGGGGGUGUGAGGGCACGACCCCCCACAAGGUCACUGAAACACGGGGCCUACACCUACGGGUGGCAGCAACCGGGAAUAUUGCGCAAUGGACGAAAGUCUGACGCAGCGACGCCGCGUGCGGGAUGAAGGCCUUCGGGUCGUAAACCGCUGUGGAGGGGGAAAAUAAUGAUGGUACCCCUCUAGAAAGCACCUGCUAACUACGUGCCAGAAGCCUCGGUGAUACGUAGGGUGCAAGCAUUAUCCGGAUUUACUGGGCGUAAAGAGUAUCGUAGGCGGUCUAGAAAGUGAUUGGUGAAAUCCUUGGGCUCAA
rnacentral:rRNA from 1 species